CCUGUGCUACACAGCUGGAGAGUGCUGUGGGUCUGCAGUUGGUCAGGGGCUGUGUGCAUCCCUCAGGCUGAGCGCUGUCAGAUAUGACAUCCCAACCUCAACCAUUAGUCUGACUAUACAUGGCAUUUCUUUCUGUCCUUCUGCCAGGUUGUCUUCUGAGAAUAAUAUAUGUACAUUGCAAUGUUAGCUAACGAUGCCAAGGACUGCUGGAGGAACUCUUGCAAAUGACCUGUUUCUGUGUGAGAUAAUCUGUGGGUUAUUAAAAAGACAUAUAUUUAAAAAAUCCUAAAGUCAACAGAUUUGCAUGAAAUAUUGUCUGCCUCGUCUGGCUUACUUGACACUUUGGCUGUCUCAGAACAGAUGGGACAGUAUCCAGCUGUGAGAAAGGAAAUACAUUUAAUGUUCAUAUUGUGGUCAUUGAAAUGUGAGGGGCACCAACAGGCUCAUAAGGAACCACUGAGAAAAUCCCCAAAGCCUAUCAAAGUCUAGGUUGCAUAAUUUUGACAUAACAGUGCUGCUCCGAGUAGCUGUGCUAAAUCUAAUAGCUGUCCAGGCUGCUCUGUCCUGUCAUGAAAGAUUAGGCUGAUUAAGACCAGUGUUUUUCAAGAAAUCAUUUGUCCCUGCAGAUCCACGCAGGAUGCUCUUGUGGGCUUAAAGAACCUCUGAGGAAGCAGGAAGCUAAAAGUUUGAAGAGGAAAAAGGAUGGAUAUAAAAUAGUGACCAUCAGCCAUCACUAAUGUUCGUUUAUGUUCCUGUGUUGCUAUAUUUGAGCUGUGUUGCUGUUCAUUAGAAUGGAGCUCAGGAGCAAAGCUGUGCUGCUGCUGGUUGAUAAAGAGCCUUUGCUCUGAGGGAGUGGAUUCUGAAAAACACCACUGGAAAAAUGCAACUACAGUCAUUUGUUUAGAGCCGGCUUCUUCCUUUCCAAAGGUAAGACUGUUGGAUUUUUGUGCCCUUAUUCUUUGCAAGGUAACCAUUCCAUUGAGAUUCAACUGCAUGGAUGGGCACUCUGGACUCAGCUCUGCCAUCUCUUUCUCAGCAGUAAUGUUCUAACAGCACGUACCAGCAAAAUCACUAGAAAAUUGGGUGCGUCUCCAUAUUUCAGAGAAAAAGUGGAAAAAUAUUGAUCUGAAAUAGUAAGAGCUGUGGCAAGACAUGCUGGAAGCAUAGCCAGGAAGCAAUGUGGAGACUGUAGGGGGACAAACAACAGGGCAGAUGAAGCAUGUUGUGUUCCUGAUCCGCCCCUGAGAUGUUACCUCAGAACUGUUUAGUGCUGGGUGAGGUGUGUGUGGUCAAGUUACUUGCAAUUUGAAGCUCUGUUGGCCCACCGAUGGUGUGUGGUUGUUCCAAGAAGUCAAUGGCAGUGAGCCAUUGCCUAGGCAGGUGCAAGUCCUGUUGGCUUCCUCCUUAACAGGGCUCCAUCCAAAGGGAAAAGCAGACCAAGAGCACAUCAGCAGAUCCCAUAACAUCAAUUAGGUGGGCUUGGGUUCAAGAGGGAAAUUCUCUCAGGGCCAACGUACCCAGCAGCCAAAGUUCCUGCUGGUAUGAGUGGGGCCUGCAUUGCAUGGUCUUCAUUUCAUUGGUGUGAGCAGGGCCUGCUCCAGGCUAACCUGCUUCCCGCUUAGACAACACCAUGUUACCUCAAGUGCCUUCUGCUGUGCCGUCCCCGCAACCGGGCGGGUUUCUCAUUUUCCUAUUGAAAGCAAAGCAGUUCCUCCAAGAGAAGUUCUCUCAGCCAUGAUAUCUUGCCAAUGGAAAAAGUGACACUAAAAAUAAACUUGUUUCAGAAGGAGGCA
rnacentral:lncRNA from 1 species